GGGCCCCCCGCCUGGUAUGAGAGUUUGGUUGUAGCUGGUCUAUUAUAUUUAGGCAUGUGCACACCUCCCUCUUUCAUCCCACACACACCUGUGAACUUGUGAGACAGUUGGGGAAUUUAUUUGUUAUUUUUUGUAAUAAAAUGAUAAUAAGUCAUUGAACCCUUCUGUCUACUCAACUCAUAUAAAAUCAAUUUAUUUUAAAUGAAUGUAAUGGAUGUAACACAUCUCAUACUAAGUUUCAACAACGGAUCUCUUGGCUCUCGCAUCGAUGAAGAACGCAGCGAAAUGCGAUAAGUAAUGUGAAUUGCAGAAUUCAGUGAAUCAUCGAAUCUUUGAACGCACCUUGCGCUCCUUGGUAUUCCUUGGAGCAUGCCUGUUUGAGUAUCAUGAAAUCUUCAAAAUCAAUCUUUUUGUUAACUCAAUUAGUUUGAUUUUGGUAUUGGAGGUCUUUUGCAGCUUCACACCUGCUCCUCUUUGUGUAUUAGCUGGAUCUCAGGUUAUGCUUGGUUCCACUCAGCGUGAUAAAUUAUCUAUCGCUGAGGACACUGUAAAAAGUGGCCAAGGUAAUGCAGAUGAACCGCUUCUAAUAGUCCAUUGACUUGGACACUAUUAUUAUGAUCUGAUCUCAAAUCAGGUAGGACUACCCGC
rnacentral:rRNA from 1 species